UACAGAGGGGGCAAGCGUUGUUCGGAAUUACUGGGCGUAAAGGGCGCGUAGGCGGGCCGCCAAGUCCGCGGUGAAAUCCCCCGGCUCAACCGGGGAACUGCCGCGGAUACUGGAGGUCUCGAGGGGGGUAGGGGCAUGCGGAACUGCGGGUGGAGCGGUGAAAUGCGUUGAUAUCCGCAGGAACUCCGGUGGCGAAGGCGGCGUGCUGGACCCCUUCUGACGCUGAGGCGCGAAAGCCAGGGGAGCGAACGGG
rnacentral:rRNA from 1 species